AAUAUUGGACAAUGGGCGAAAGCCUGAUCCAGCCAUGCCGCGUGUGUGAAGAAGGNCUNNGGAUUNUNAAGCACUUUAAGUUGNNNNNAAGGGCAGUAAGUUAAUACCUUGCUGUUUUGACGUUACCGACAGAAUAAGCACCGGCUAACUUCGUGCCAGCAGCCGCGGUAAUACGAAGGGUGCAAGCGUUAAUCGGAAUUACUGGGCGUAAAGCGCGCGUAGGUGGUUCGUUAAGUUGGGUGUGAAAGCCCCGGGCUCAACCUGGGAACUGCAUCCAAAACUGGCGAGCUAGAGUACGGUAGAGGGUGGUGAAAUUUCCUGUGUAGCGGUGAAAUGCGUAGAUAUAGGAAGGAACACCAGUGGCGAAGGCGACCACCUGGACUGAUACUGACACUGAGGUGCGAAAGCGUGGGGAGCAAACAGGA
rnacentral:rRNA from 1 species